rnacentral:rRNA from 1 species
UACGGGGGGGGCAAGCGUUGUUCGGAAUUACUGGGCGUAAAGGGCGCGUAGGCGGCCCGCUAAGUCAGACGUGAAAUCCCUCGGCUCAACCGGGGAACUGCGUCUGAUACUGGCAGGCUUGAAUCCGGGAGAGGGAUGUGGAACUCCAGGUGUAGCGGUGAAAUGCGUAGAUAUCAGGAGGAACACCGGUGGCGAAGGCGGAUCUCUGGGCCUUACCUGACGCUGAGGCGCGAAAGCUAGGGGAGCGAACAGG